rnacentral:rRNA from 1 species
GUAGGUGGCAAGCGUUGUCCGGAAUUAUUGGGCGUAAAGCGCGCGCAGGCGGUUCUUUAAGUCUGAUGUGAAAGCCCACGGCUCAACCGUGGAGGGUCAUUGGAAACUGGAGAACUUGAGUACAGAAGAGGAAAGCGGAAUUCCACGUGUAGCGGUGAAAUGCGUAGAGAUGUGGAGGAACACCAGUGGCGAAGGCGGCUUUCUGGUCUGUAACUGACGCUGAGGCGCGAAAGCGUGGGGAGCAAACAGGAUUAGAUACCCUGGUAGUCCACGCCGUAAACGAUGAGUGCUAAGUGUUAGGGGGGUUUUCCGCCCCCCUUAGUGCUGCAGCUAACGCAUCAAGCACUCCGCCUGGGAGUACGGCCGCAAGGCUG